ensembl:miRNA
UGAGGCAAGAGAAUUGCUUGAACCCAGGAAGUGGAGGUUGCAGUGAGUCGAGAUUGGGCCACUGUACUCCAGUCUGGGUGACAGAGCGAGACUCCAUCUCA